rnacentral:lncRNA from 1 species
GUUGGCAGGGGUAGCAGUAAACAGCUUCUCCUUCUUGUUGGUGAGUGGUCCUCUCUGUUUUGCAGUGGAGGGCUUCACACUCACAGCUAGUGUGGCUGGAUGCAUCACACAGCAGAACAGUUCACCGGGUGCAGCACACGGGACCCUUUUCCUCUGGAUGGACUCAACCGGGGACCAUGGGCUCCCGUGAGCAGCCGUGCCUGGCCACCUCCCUCCAGGUGCUUACCAGGUGUCAAUCAGCACCAGUUCCUCACCCAUAUGCCACCUAGUCACAUGACUGGGCUAAAUCAUCCUAGUAAAUUCUUAAACAAUGGGUGAGUUUUUAAUAAGCUUUAUUGUUGUUUUACAAAUA